UUGAGCGCAGUGCGGUGAAAGUCGCACGCUGCGUUCUUAGGGGGCGGCGACGCAGCAAUGCGUUGCUGCUACCCGCC
rnacentral:ncRNA from 2 species